UCAUAGCACCUGUGUCAUCGGAGGUAUAUUUGGAUAUUUUUUUCUAUGUAACUUACUUAGCGGCUACAUUUCUUUUCAUAAAAUAGGAAGUAAGAGUUUUGUUCAACAGAGGAAGAGAGUCGUCACAUCUUGUUAAAUUGCAAGUAUUGAUACAAAUUGGACAAAUGUUUGAAGCCGCUUUGUGCCUGUUGUUAUUUUGUUAUUCUUCUAAUUUGAAAUAUGGUUCAAAAUCUAGUAUAGUCUGGAGAAUUAGUUAUUUGCUAAUACCAGUGCUAGUUUUACAAGAAAUUUCAGUUGUAAAUGCAAUACCACCUCUCGAAUUAGCUACAAAAUUGUAAG